rnacentral:rRNA from 1 species
GUGGGGAAUAUUGGACAAUGGGCGAAAGCCUGAUCCAGCCAUGCCACGUGUGUGAAGAAGGUCUUCGGAUUGUAAAGCACUUUAAGUUGGGAGGAAGGGCAGUAAGUUAAUACCUUGCUGUUUUGACGUUACCGACAGAAUAAGCACCGGCUAACUUCGUGCCAGCAGCCGCGGUAAUACGAAGGGUGCAAGCGUUAAUCGGAAUUACUGGGCGUAAAGCGCGCGUAGGUGGUUUUGUAAGUUGGAGGUGAAAUCCCCGGGCUCAACCUGGGAACUGCCUCCAAAACUGCAUGACUAGAGUACGGUAGAGGGUAGUGGAAUUUCCUGUGUAGCGGGGAAAUGCGUAGAUAUAGGAAGGAACACCAGUGGCGAAGGCGACUACCUGGACUGAUACUGACACUGAGGUGCGAAAGCGUGGGGAGCAAACAGGAUUAGAAACCCGGGUAGUCC